AAGCUGGCAGUGCCUGGGAAAAGCCCGAGAAAAGCCCUGUCGGCUCCCUCUUCCUGGCUGCUAAAGUUGACACAAGACGGCUUCUUGGAACUCCCCCUCCUCCCGCCUAAAUGUACAGAGCAAGACUUGAAGUCAAAAGAUAGAUAGCGAUCGUGCUGAAAGUCAGGUGGAAAACAAGACUGCUAAUUUUAUGAAACAACCUAUCAACCCACUGGGAAGAGAUGACAAGAGGUACAUGGGCGCUUCUGCAGGAGGUGGAGGUGGAGGUGAAAUGCCGAGGUUCUAGACUGAUGUAAAUUUCUCCAACUAACUCCAGAUCGAGAGCCUACAAAUCCGACAAAUAUGCCCACACUUUGACAGUAACCGCCUCCCAGCACGCCCCACCACCGCCAACACACAUGGAGGGGUUUGAACUUUUCCACCUUCCGGACCUCUGCAGUCCGUCGCAGGACGCCCAAACCACAGGCCGGACACAGAUGAAGCCAGACCACAGCCCCCGCCCCAGCCACCGCGGUAGGUGGGUGCCCAAGAGACUUCUCAGGCCUAAGGAAAGCAGCCGAUGGCUCCCAAGACAACUCUGUCCGGCCAGUACUCCAGGGCAACUUCAACCCCACUAGGACCCAGGCCAAAACCAUAUAUAUAUAUAUAUAUAUAUAAAUUAACGCAAAACAGAGCCACUUUGGUGCCUACCCCUCCACAAGUAGGUAGGCACAUCCAGGUAGCUCUGUCAGAAGAUGGGACCUGGCGCCUUGCAGGGGUAGCCCUAUGGAGAUCCAGAAGCCCCGUUUCGAGCUACGAAGUCUCUCUUCUACUGCAGUCUUCUCUCCAACGUGGAGAUCUAGCAACUUCCCUCCCCCUGGGAUUCCCUGUGAAUCCACUCUAGUUGGGAUAUAGCCUCUCUACAGCUCAGUGACGUAGCGCGCCAAAACCAAGUACCCACCCCGGCAACUGGAAGACCUAGCUGUCCUCCAUCCCGCCUCCGCAGUCGAUAAUCUCCAGGAUCCAAGCAAAGUGCCUGUCCACGUUGUCACCAGAUCCACAAGCGCUUUUGAUGAGAGCUGCUACCCUUUUGGAAACACGAUUCCCUCUCCCUAGUAGAGAAGAAUCUAUUCUUCUGGGCUGGCGUAGACAAAGAAUAACCAAGAUAAAGUAUGUGGUGUGAAAAUAUCAGCUGCCUCUUCUUUUUUUGUUUUUGAAACGGAGUCUCGCUCUGUCUCCUAGGGUGGAGUGCAGUGGCACUAUCUCUGCUCACUGCAACUUCCGCCUCCUGGAUUCAAGCGAUUCUCCUACCUCAGCCUCUGGAGUAGCUGGGACUAUAGGCGCCCGCCACCACGCCCGGCUAAUUUUUUGUAUAUUUAGUAGAGACGGGGUGGGGGGGUGUUUCACCAUGUUGGCCAGGCUGGUCACGAACUCCUGACCUCAAAUGAUCGGCCCACCUCGACCUCCCAAAGUGCUGGGAUUACAGGCGUGAGCCACCGCGCGCCGGGUGGAAAACAUUAGCUUCUAAUAGCAGUCUUGGAGUGGAGUGAAGACGUUCAGGAAGUGGUGGAGAUAGGCCUGCUCAAUUAACCGGCCCCAGAUAUCAUUUCUCUGGCUACCUCUUUUCUCGCCUGGCCUGGCCCUCUAUACCGUUUUUUGUUUGUUUGUUUUGUUUUGUUUUUUUUCUGCAAAACGUUUUCUGCUGCAACUUUCUCUUUAUUUAUGCCUUUAUCUUUCUUAAACAAGAGGUCCCUGGAAAUAACUAACUAAGGAGGGGAGAGGAACCCCCUCACCCCCAAUUUCAUGAAUGAGUGCUACAUUCAUGCUGGCCGGGUACCAAGAGCAUCUUUAGAUCUUUAGACCUGAGUCUUCUCAUCUGUGAAAAAGAGGUUAAAGCAGAUGAACCCUAAAGGCCCAUUUCCAGUCUUAAAUUCAACACUUUCAAGACAAAACUUUUCUUCUGUAUUCCUGAGUGUGUAUAUAUAUGUUAUGUAAUAUAUAUUAUAAUGUAUAUAUAUAAA
ensembl:lncRNA novel transcript